GUGGAGAUGGACUCCUGGAACAAGCUGG
rnacentral:piRNA from 1 species